UCGGUUAGUCCGCUAACGAGCGCAACCCUCGCUGUGUGUUACAAGUGUCACACGGAAACCGUGCCGGGUCAUAAACCGGAGGAAGGUGGGGAUGACGUCAAGUCAGCAUGGCCUUUAUAUCCUGGGCUACACACACGCUACAAUGGGAAGGGACAAUAGGUUGCGAAGCCGCGAGGUGGAGCCAAUCCAGCAAAACUUCCCUCAGUUCAGAUUGCAGGCUGCAACUCGCCUGCAUGAAGUUGGAGUUGCUAGUAAACGCAGGUCAGCCAUACUGCGUUGAAUACGUUCCCGGGGCUU
rnacentral:rRNA from 1 species